rnacentral:miRNA from 1 species
AUGUUGUACUAGUAUAGAAAGGAG